UCGAGAUAAUUAAAAACAAACAAAAACAUAGGAAUAUGAAAACAAAAAACAAACAAUUUAUUUGAAGCAUAUUAGAAAGAAACAGUUUCAUCGUAACGGAAAGACAUAGCUUGAAGUUACAACUUAUUGAAAAAUGCAAACAUAUUAAUAGUUUAUUUAAAGAUGAAUAUAUCCUUAAUAAUGAUGCUAAAGAAAUGACAUUUUUUGUUGAACAUGAUGUACAUGAAUUUUUUGUUUAUUUUUUUUGUUAUCGUUCAUAUUAUUAACAAAAAGUGAAGGAAUUCUCUCAUGAAUGAGUGUUAAUUGUUUUACAUGGUAAAAACAUGCUAUCAAAUCUCAAAUAGUUGAUAAUAAAGAUCAUUAAAAAAAGAGCUAGCAGUAAGUAUUCGUAAGGAAUAAAUACAGUGGGUUCACCAUAUGAUAUACACUAUAAUUCUUGUUUAAUAUAUAUUUCAAAAGUUGUGUUUAAACUAAAAUAUAAUUCAAUUAAAAUAUAAUCUUUAUAGUAUAACAGAUAGACAUUGCGUCAAUUGCAUGCAAUGUAUCUGAUCAAUUUUAUCAAAUGAAAACUAAUAAAAAGGGAAUGAGUCGUUCAAUUGGACUUCAUCAAAAUUGUUCACAUAUUUAAAUCAAUUUUUUAUUUUGAAUCUAUGUGAAUAACACUACAAACAAUAGGACAACUCAAUCACUUUUUGAAUCAUCUUGAAUUUUGUACAAAAAUAAAUGAUUGUAAAAAUAUUUUGAUAUUUUGACAUUCCUUAGACUAAAAAGCAUAUCAUAACAAUUUUAAUGCUCAAUUUCAAGAGGACUAUAAAAAAAUACAUCUCCUUACAAGAUAAAGAAUUGUAUCAAUAAAUUUCACUAGGAAAGAAGCAUUUAUCACUAAUCACAUUUUCAGUAUUCUUAGAAGCUAAAGCUGAAGUAAAUUUACCUUUAUCACAAGAAUUUUAGGAAACACUUUGUACCACAUUUUUUCAAUACUUCACAUAACAGUUACUUCAAAAAAUCUAAGAUCACAAUCAAUGAUAAUUUAAGAUCCACAACCAUAAGCAACUAAUAGAUGGUCACACUCUAUUUGCAUAUUAAUACAAUGCAGCCUCACUAAGAGGAUGUUUAAAUUUCAUACUCAAGUCUCUGCAAGUUUAUUUGAAAUAGCUUAAGGUUUGGAUAAGCUUUUUUACUGUGAUAAGUACAUAAUGAACAGUAUUUAUCUUUAUUUUAUAAAAUAAAGAUUUCUUUCUCACUUGCAAAAGAAGUCUCAUACUUAUUUGUUUCAUUGAUUCAUGAAUUUCAUUCUUUUCUAAGUUGUCAUUUUUACGAUCAUGUUCUCUUCAAGAAUAUGUACAAAACAAAUAAUCAUGGUUUGUCUUAAUCCUUUCAGGGAAGAAAUGAAGAGAAGCAAGAUGGAUUCCAUUUGCAGACUGGUCCAUAAACAAGAAAUUAGGAUUUGAAUGGAAAUCCACAUCAACAAUUUGAGAAAAGUAGCUUGGAAGUUUCUAAAAUGAAAUACUUUGUCGGUAUGGUACUAACUGACUAAUUAUCCAAUGAUUCCAUUCAUUGGAAACUGACUGAAAUUUCAUCAAUGAUUUACCAGGAAGGAAAGGUAAUACAUGUUUCAUAACUACAUAUUUGAUCUUUAUUUCUCCUCUCCUAAUGUAGUCUACAGGUAAUUUAGAUUCCUCAUUCCUUUCCUACUUAUAAGUAAUAGCCUUAAAGUCCUUCUGAAACUUUAAUUCUAAGACAACAGAGGUAUUAUAAUUAGAUAAAAGAGAUAUAUGCAUAUCAAUUAGACAAUUACAACACAAGCUCAUACCAGUUGGUGUCAUUCGCAUGAAACAUUUAUUUCUACUCCUCUCUAUAUAAGGCAGGGACUUUCAACAUGUUCACUUACCAAUGCUCAUUUAAAUAGUUUAUUCAUCAAGAUCUUGAAAAAAAUAUCAGUAAAACACUAUUUUAAAUUAGCCUUUGUAAAUGAAAAUAAAUGCUUCAUGGGACUGAUAUCAACAAGUAUGAGUUUAACUUGUAAUUUUCUGAUCAAUAUGUAUACAUCUCAUUCAUCUGAUUAUAGUACCUUUUUUAUCUUGGAAUGCUUGUUCUAGAGGAGGACAUUAAGGUUGUAGUUAGAAGCAUAAAUGGAAUGAGGAAUCUAAAUUACCUGUAGACUAAACUAGGAGAGAAGACUUGGAGAUCAAAGAUGUGGGAAUGAAAUAGGUAGUGUCUUUCCUUCCUGAUAGAUGAUUGAUGAAGUUUCAGGCAGUGUCCAAUGAAUGUAAUUAGUGGAUAGUUAGUCUGUUAAUAGCAUACCAGCAAUGUAUUUCAUUGCAAAAACACUCAGGCUACUUUUAUAAAAUUAUGGAUGUGGAUUUCCAACCAGAUCCUAAUUUCUUGUCUCUAGAUCAUUGUGCAAACGGAUUCCCCCUUCCUUCCCUUAGUUUCAUUCCUGAAAGGAUUGAAGUUCUCAGUCCAUGAAUUGGAAUGCUCUUUUGCAAGAGGGUUCCUCCUUUGAAAAACAAUCAUUUAAAAGGUUAGUAUUAGAAUAAGAAAACUUCUUAGUCAUACUCUCUAGAUUUUCUCUUAUAUGAUCUUGUUUUCUCUUAAUUUCCUCACUUGUAUUCGUUUCUUCUUAUGAAAAUUCAUCCUCAUUUUUCAACUAUAUUUUUAACUUUCUUGUAGCCACUCCCUAACUUCUUUAAAUUAUCCUCUUCUAUUUAAUAUCUUCAGUUUCCAUUAUUCGCUCCAUUAUUUCUCUCUUUAUAUUCUCUCUUAUUCAAUUUAUUGGAGUGCAAUAGGCUCCCAGGAUUCCAUUUGUGUAACAGCCUGUAUUAAAUACAUGCUAGUUCUAUUCAUGUGAUACUUGACAUAGACUUAUAGUAUACGUGAGGUAUCAUGUUUCUUAUAUGAUUAGUGUUCGUUUAAACUAGCUCGGAAGGUGAUGUAACGCCUUGCACGUUUCAGCAUGUGUAUUGCAAGUUAACUCCGAUGGAAAGUAUUUGAAAUAGAUAUAGUAAGAUGGUGAUUGAGCUUAAAGUUGAAAAUUAAGUGUUAUUUUGAAGAAAAAUGGAUUAAUAUUCAAACAAAAGAAUAAAAUAAUUGAGCUCUUGCUUGUCUUAAUUAAGCUACCUGUUGCAUUACCUUCUUGAGCUACUUGGAUAUAGUUAAAAGGACCAAUGUGGAUGGAUCUGAUGAAGGAUUAUAUUAAUGGGCUUAGUUGAGGCCCAAAUGUAUUAAAAGAAAAUAAAAAUGAAAGAAAGCCUAGCAGCCAAAUCUGCCAAGGCCCAAUAUAGUUAAAGUCCAAGUAAAAGUAAGUAGGUGCAUCACCUAAUUUGACCUUUAAAGUUAUUUGAUGUACAUAAGCAUGUGCAUCACCUACAUGACUAAUUAGUGGCUGAAUAUGGACCCAAAAAAAGGGAGCUUCUAGAGGAUAUUUUUGUGGUCAAUAAAGCUCCAUAUAAAUUGAAUAUGAUAAGAUAUUUUCACCCAUAUUAACGCAUAAUAUUGAGAAUUAACUCAAGCUCUAUCUGUCUCUCUAUUCUGUUCAAGAUUAAAAUAGCAGCCUUAAGUUCUUCUAGGGUUCUUGAAGAAACUCUCAUAUCUACAAACCAAGUGUGAAGGAAAGUUGAAGUUCUAGAAGAAUUCAAGUUAUAAGGAGAAGUUGUAGAAAUUGAGAUCUAAAACCGAAAAGGGAGGAUAAAUCGUGAUAUUUAUACCGAUCAGAGGAUAAGGUACAAACUGCUUUGUAGCCUGUUUGGCAGGAAAAUACAACGGCAAAAGACAAUUAAAUUAAGAGGCCUUGCAAUUUUCUGAUGGUAGGUAGCUGCUGCUAUAAGAGCUCAAAAUUCAAGCAUUCAACGAUUCUAGCCAUGUUCUGCAAAAUCUUUUAUAUAGUAUUGUUGGGAUAAGCAUUGUUUUGAUGAAUGAUGAAAUGCAUGGAACACGUUGGCAAAGUCAUCUCACGAGAAACUAUUUUGACAAGACCUUCUAUUUUUAUAAAAGAGUUCCAUUGCAAGAAGAACUCAAAAUAAAAUAAACUUAUGGAACAAAAGAAGAGUCACUGAAAGAGUAGAAUACUUCAGAAAGCAAAAGCGUAAAAAGGAGAAGAGGCUUCCAUUAUACUUGCACACUUAUAUAGAAAACCAAUUGAAAGAUUAAUUUCCGAAGUGUUGCUGAUCAUAGCAUAUAGAAGAACAGAUCUAGGAAGUUUUCUUAGUAUUUUUUAUUUUUAUAUUUUCUAGAUCAGUGAUUUAUAAACUGAGAUUAGGUUCUUCGUUUUCAAGUUUAGGGAAACUUGAAGACACUGGGAACACAUACCUUGGAGGUGUGUGGUAGAAUUGAGAUUAAGUUGUUAAUCUUUAGGUUAAGAUAAACUUUUUUAAUAUCGUUUGUUUAUUGAGGCUCGUAGUUAUUGAGUGAAGUUGGGGUAAAUUCUGUUGAGGUACAUGACGUGAUUUUUACACCUUCUGAGCCGGGUGUUUCCACAUAAAAAUUGUGUCCAUACUUGACGGACUUUACAUCUUCUUGAAAUACGUUAGGCAAUUUGAUUCACUUAAAUAAAGUCUGAUAAACGUAAAACAAUUAAGGUCGUGUAGACUAACAAGUAUAAUCUACUUUGUAGCCAUGUUUGAAUUUUUAAAUUUUAUUAGGUUAUUUUGUUGAUGAAAUUAUUUAGCCUAUUUGAAUUUUUUGUUAUUCAGAUUAUCAAUUUUUCACUUUAAAGCCCUUUAUGCUUAAUAAAUUCAAUGAGAGCCUUGUUUUGCAGCACCGUCAUUUAUAAAACCAACAGUAUAACAGAGGAAAUAUGCUUGCGCUGAGCACGAGCCCAAGGAGCUUGUUAUUGUUAUAAGUUAACACGGAUAAUGUUUCUUUACACAUAUAGAUUCUUUGAAAAAGACAUUCUUUCAUAAGAAAAAUAUAGCAUCUGUUGGAUCUGAUCCUACACUGCUGCUCAAGACAUAAGUGGAUUGACUCUAUUACAUAAGUUAAUUUCUAGUUUUAGUCUCACAUCAUGAGAUAAGUACACAAUUAUUAUUGUCGGCCCAAAUCUCCGCUAAUUUAUAUUUAUGAUGCUUCCUCUAUCUCUCUCAAUAAAGCGUUGUAUCCAUAAAAAAAAGUUGCUAGUCAUUUUUAUUUCCGUGAAACAAAAUUCAUUCAAUCUCCAUUUUAUAAGAAUGAGUUGUAUAAUGCAGAAUAACUUGUGUAUGUAAUAACGAUUUGAUACAUCAACAAAUUGAGCCAACAUGUGCAUUUUUUCGUGUCAAAUGUGAGUUAUUCACAUCCACAAUAUGAUUUUUUCCUUGAGCUGUGAUUGCAUCUCUUAUUGAAUCUGCUAACUUUAUUGGACCUAAUGUUUCAGAGCAGGGAGUCUUUAUUAAAGGAAACAAACUAAUGAUACAUAUUUAGAUGCAAAGUCACUCAGUUUAUUAUAUUCAUGUCUUCAUUGUUAUCCCAUCCUUUGAAGUGGUGUAGAAUUUCUGUUAGUUUGCUUCUAAAUGAAGCUUUUCAGAUGUCUUGUUAUUACUUGUAAACAGUAAACAACAGUGCGCUAAUUUAAUGUUCAUGCAACUGAGUAACUCCUAUCUGUGGUUGUCUAUGAAGCUAGA